UACGGGGGGGGCAACCGUUGUUCGGAAUUACUGGGCGUAAAGGGCUCGUAGGCGGCCAACUAAGUCAGACGUGAAAUCCCUCGGCUUAACCGGGGAACUGCGUCUGAUACUGGAUGGCUUGAGGUUGGGAGAGGGAUGCGGAAUUCCAGGUGUAGCGGUGAAAUGUGUAGAUAUCUGGAGGAACACCGGUGGCGAAGGCGGCAUCCUGGACCAAUUCUGACGCUGAGGAGCGAAAGCCAGGGGAGCAAACGGG
rnacentral:rRNA from 1 species